CCACCGAAAGAUUUUUACAAGGAAAGAGGCGUGGUGGUGAAGAGGUGCUAAAGAGAUCUCUGACCCAGUCCUUCUCCAAUACAAAGGAAAGACGAUCAAGAGCGUGAAGGCCAGCUAGCGCAGAUGGGCGGGCCGCAGGUGGCUAGAGCAACCGGUGUACUCUCGGGGGAUGCAGCGAGAUGCGCCAUCUCUGACGGCAAACCGACCGACGAUGCCUACACGGGGCACCUGGUUCCUGUCCAGUAUGGCUAUAGAGUGUGCCCAAGAACCUCGGAGGCAAGAGAAACACGGUCAGUAUUCCUGAUCAUUUCCACUGCAGCAAGCGCUGCACUCCAGAGAUGGUUACCAUCCAGGAGUUCUGAAACGUAUGCAGUGUGCACAAAAGCCAGGGGUUUAGUUCAGACUCCUCUCCCCAUCUCCUGUGGCCACCCCCCUCAUCCAUUGGUUAAAGCUGAUUGUGUCCCGACUUCAGUGCCGGGGCAUUAUCGGGGCGGCUGCUGGAGGCCUGACGACUCAGACAGACUGCUGACCCUUCGGGGAGGACGUAGGGGCUGGGGCUGUGCUGGGGGUGGUUGGGGGUAGCCCAGGGUCCCUGGCUGUUGUGAGUAGGUGGAGAGAAGUAGCGAGUCCUGCUGCUCACUGUGCAAAGAGGUUGGUGCCUGUACCUAGAAAAAAAAGAACAAAGGGCUUCAGAGGUGGUUCUGAUGUCCGCUCCUCAACUGUCUUACAAGGCAGUGCGGGGCAUGCUGCAGGUUGAGUUAGACUACAGGGCUGUCUUUCUUGGGGGGUCAUGUGGGGAGAGGUGGCUCUGGCAAGACCUGGGGGUGUGGUGGGGAUGGGGACUAAGGGAACCUUAGGGUGAAUUCUGAAGCUAAGUUCUCCGCCAAUAGUGGGGGCACCUUCUGGCCCAAUCGACUGAGGCCUGUGGCUAUGGCUAUGGGGAAUGGUUUCGUAAACACGUGCACAUGAUCUACAUGUAGCCACAAUGUUUUUGGAUGAUGGAACCUGAGGCCACAUGCAGGUAGUUGACAGGGCAGAAUCCAAACACACAUACAGUUUGUACACUUUUCACUGCUGGUCCCUGAUCCCGUAGCUACCUCCAGAUUCACCAGCACCUACUAGGAGCAUCUUGAUUGGAAGUUUAGAAGCUUUGACUGACCAAAGCCUGACUUUGGAAACUUCAGUCUUAUCACCCACUAUUCCCUUCCAUGAAAUCUCCUCCUGCAAGUAACCCAGCACCCCCCUGCUCUCAAAGCUGCCCAGGCACAGCUGCCCUGAACUUUUGCUCAGGCUGUCUGGCUGGAACACUGUCCCUUUAUCUUCACCCUCACCCACAUUUCGGGCAUUUCCUGGACAUCAGACUCUGCAGUGGGUGCCUUCUGAGCCCUCCCUCUCCUCAAGUCCCUUCCUCCACAAAGGCUUCCCCACCACAGCACUCCCACUGUUCCCAAAUCCGAGCCUGACUGCAUUCUGUGCUAACCCACCUCUCUGCACCCCACCCCAAGCCCCUAAGGGCAGUGAGUGGGCCGAAGCGCUCUCUGUAUUCAUAGCCUGCAUCUUGUCUGCAACAGGUGCAUGCAAACUUGUCUGUUGCUCAUUUCCCAUCCAAAAUCACUUCUGGGUCUCGAGAACUGACAAGAUCUGCAAAGCCAAAGUCUGAGUUGACUCCCACUAUGUGUGGGGUCAGGGAGAUCUGAAAAUUAUAGCACAGAUGGCUUAGCGGCACUGGAAUUAAAUUACGUUCUAGAACUUCAAGGACAGCUAUCUUCAUCACUAUCUACAGUACUCAAGAGGUCUCAGCUACUGCUCAUUCUCCAUGGCUUUGCAGGUGCAGGUGGGGCUGCAGGCCAGGGAGGAAGCCCCCCCAGGACAGGGAAGGGCUGGGGUGAAGAGGGGCACCCUGCACAUGGGUGAGGGAAGGCCAGGCCCUUCUGCAGCUUGGCAGACGCAGACGUGUGGCUCCCACGUGAACCUGCGGACCAGUGGCUCUCACCCUCCCUGCUUUUGACAUACUUGGCACUUGCUUGAAGUAAUUUUUGCCUUCGAAGUAGUGACCACAUGUAAAUGAGCUCCAAAUUUUCCUGGCAAGCCCAA
rnacentral:lncRNA from 1 species